GCCGGGCAUGGUGGUGCAUGCCUGUAAUCCCAGCUACUCAGGAGGCUGAGGCAGGAGAAUCACUUGAACCCAGGAGGUGGAGGUUGCAGUGAGCUGAGGUCAUACCAUUGCACUCCAGCCUGGGUGACAGAGUGAAAAUUUGUCUCAA
rnacentral:SRP_RNA from 2 species